GAUGAACGCUGGCGGCGUGCCUAAUACAUGCAAGUCGAGCGAACGGACGAGAAGCUUGCUUCUCUGAUGUUAGCGGCGGACGGGUGAGUAACACGUGGAUAACCUACCUAUAAGACUGGGAUAACUUCGGGAAACCGGAGCUAAUACCGGAUAAUAUUUUGAACCGCAUGGUUCAAAAGUGAAAGACGGUCUUGCUGUCACUUAUAGAUGGAUCCGCGCUGCAUUAGCUAGUUGGUAAGGUAACGGCUUACCAAGGCAACGAUGCAUAGCCGACCUGAGAGGGUGAUCGGCCACACUGGAACUGAGACACGGUCCAGACUCCUACGGGAGGCAGCAGUAGGGAAUGUUCCGCAAUGGGCGAGAGCCUGACGGAGCAACGCCGCGUGAGUGAUGAAGGUCUUCGGAUCGUAAAACUCUGUUAUUAGGGAAGAACAUAUGUGUAAGUAACUGUGCACAUCUUGACGGUACCUAAUCAGAAAGCCACGGCUAACUACGUG
rnacentral:rRNA from 1 species